GUGCUCCCUUCAGCAGCACAUAUGCUAAAUUUGGGACAAUACGGGGAAACAUGGUCCCUGCACAAGGAUGACAUGCAGAAGGGUGAAGUGUUCCCUUAAGAA
ensembl:snRNA U6 U6 spliceosomal RNA